AUGGUUGCUUUUAGCAGCAAGGGAGGUGUGCGAGAAAGUACUGGAUUCAGUCCAAACGAUUUGGUCUUUUGUCACCGAGUACGUGGUCCUUUGGCAGUGCUUCGAGAUGAGUGGUACACAGAGGAACCUCCGUCCAAUUUGAGAGUGUAUGUAAACGGGUUCAGAUACCGGCUUUACAUGGCUGGCCAAUUGGCAAAACGGAACUUGGAAAAAACACAGGGAAAAAUGAAGCGUUUGUAUGAUCGAUGUUCUGAGAGACGACAGUUUAGUAAGGGUGACCAAGUGUUGGCUUUGCUACCAAUUGUGGGGUCACCAUUUCAAGCUAAAUUUAAGGGUCCAUAUACUGUAGAACAACAACUCAGUGAACUAAACUACUUAAUAUCCACUCCAGAUCGCAGGAAAAGAAACCAACUUUGCCACAUAAAUCUGCUGAAACCAUAUUAUGGUCGUGAAUGUCCCCAGAAUGAAUCUGAGGGUUCACACACUCCAUCUGAAGUGAGCCCAGUGUUGUCUGCUGGUACAGUGAUGCAAUCAGGUUUUGGUGGGGGAGAGGAGGUGGCAGUGCCAGAGGAUUCUGUACUGCAUGGUCGUCUGAAGAACUCUGAAUGUCUAAAGAAUAUGGAUGGCUUGUUGUCUCAUUUGUCUGUUGAGAAGCGAACUGAGUUAGCUGUACUGAUUGCAAGCUAUCCAGGGUUAUUUGGAGACACGCCGUCUAGGACAAAUCUGAUGGAGCACGAUAUUGACGUUGGUGACGCUAAGCCCAUCCGGCAGAGAUUUUACAGAGUCUCUGAAGAGAAGAGGAAAAUAUUGGACCGUGAAGUAAACUACAUGUUGGACAAUCAAAUUGCAGUACCCUCCUCUUCCAGUUGGGCAUCUCCAUGCGUGUUAGUUGAGAAAUCCGAUAAAUCACCUCGAUGUUGCACCGAUUUUCGUAAAGUGAAUACAGUGACCAAGUCUGAUUCCUUUCCACUGCCUCGGAUGGAGGAUUGUAUUGACCAGGUUGGUGCAGCAAAGUUUGUAAGCAAAUUUGAUUUGUUAAAAGGUUACUGGCAGGUUCCAUUAACUCCAAGAGCUCGGGAAAUAUCUGCCUUUAUUACACCGUCCGGCCUGUUCUCGUACACUGUUAUGGGUUUUGGUUUGCGCAACGCACCAGCUACAUUUCAACGGUUAAUGAAUAUGGUUGUUAACAGACUUGAAGGUUGUGCGGUAUAUUUGGACGAUGUCGUGAUUUACAGUAACACCUGGGAGGAUCAUCUAAGUCGCAUUCGGGCUUUGUUUGAACGAUUUGCAAAUGCGAAUUUGACAGUAAACUUGGCUAAAUGUGAGUUUGCAAAAGCUACGGUGACAUAUAUUGGCAAAGUAGUGGGCCAAGGUCAUGUGCGUCCAGUUCAUGCAAAGGUGACUGCUGUUGAGGAGUUCCCUGUUCCCACUACGAAAAAAUAA
rnacentral:lncRNA from 1 species